GGGUUGUGAGGUUAAGCGACUAAGCGUACACGGUGGAUGCCCUGGCAGUCAGAGGCGAUGAAGGACGUGCUAAUCUGCGAUAAGCGUCGGUGAGGUGAUAUGAACCGUUAUAACCGGCGAUUUCCGAAUGGGGAAACCCAGUGUGUUUCGACACACUAUCAUUAACUGAAUCCAUAGGUUAAUGAGGCGAACCGGGGGAACUGAAACAUCUAAGUACCCCGAGGAAAAGAAAUCAACCGAGAUUCCCCCAGUAGCGGCGAGCGAACGGGGAGGAGCCCAGAGCCUGAAUCAGUGUGUGUGUUAGUGGAAGCGUCUGGAAAGGCGCGCGAUACAGGGUGACAGCCCCGUACACAAAAAUGCACAUAUUGUGAGCUCGAUGAGUAGGGCGGGACACGUGGUAUCCUGUCUGAAUAUGGGGGGACCAUCCUCCAAGGCUAAAUACUCCUGACUGACCGAUAGUGAACCAGUACCGUGAGGGAAAGGCGAAAAGAACCCCGGCGAGGGGAGUGAAAAAGAACCUGAAACCGUGUACGUACAAGCAGUGGGAGCCUCUUAAUGGGGUGACUGCGUACCUUUUGUAUAAUGGGUCAGCGACUUAUAUUCUGUAGCAAGGUUAACCGAAUAGGGGAGCCGAAGGGAAACCGAGUCUUAACUGGGCGUUAAGUUGCAGGGUAUAGACCCGAAACCCGGUGAUCUAGCCAUGGGCAGGUUGAAGGUUGGGUAACACUAACUGGAGGACCGAACCGACUAAUGUUGAAAAAUUAGCGGAUGACUUGUGGCUGGGGGUGAAAGGCCAAUCAAACCGGGAGAUAGCUGGUUCUCCCCGAAAGCUAUUUAGGUAGCGCCUCGUGAAUUCAUCUCCGGGGGUAGAGCACUGUUUCGGCAAGGGGGUCAUCCCGACUUACCAACCCGAUGCAAACUGCGAAUACCGGAGAAUGUUAUCACGGGAGACACACGGCGGGUGCUAACGUCCGUCGUGAAGAGGGAAACAACCCAGACCGCCAGCUAAGGUCCCAAAGUCAUGGUUAAGUGGGAAACGAUGUGGGAAGGCCCAGACAGCCAGGAUGUUGGCUUAGAAGCAGCCAUCAUUUAAAGAAAGCGUAAUAGCUCACUGGUCGAGUCGGCCUGCGCGGAAGAUGUAACGGGGCUAAACCAUGCACCGAAGCUGCGGCAGCGACACUAUGUGUUGUUGGGUAGGGGAGCGUUCUGUAAGCCUGUGAAGGUGUACNNNNNNNNNNNNNNNNNNNNNNNNNNNNNNNNNNNNNNNNNNNNNNNNNNNNNNNNNNNNNNNNNNNNNNNNNNNNNNNNNNNNNNNNNNNNNNGUAUGCUGGAGGUAUCAGAAGUGCGAAUGCUGACAUAAGUAACGAUAAAGCGGGUGAAAAGCCCGCUCGCCGGAAGACCAAGGGUUCCUGUCCAACGUUAAUCGGGGCAGGGUGAGUCGACCCCUAAGGCGAGGCCGAAAGGCGUAGUCGAUGGGAAACAGGUUAAUAUUCCUGUACUUGGUGUUACUGCGAAGGGGGGACGGAGAAGGCUAUGUUGGCCGGGCGACGGUUGUCCCGGUUUAAGCGUGUAGGCUGGUUUUCCAGGCAAAUCCGGAAAAUCAAGGCUGAGGCGUGAUGACGAGGCACUACGGUGCUGAAGCGACAAAUGCCCUGCUUCCAGGAAAAGCCUCUAAGCAUCAGGUAACAUCAAAUCGUACCCCAAACCGACACAGGUGGUCAGGUAGAGAAUACCAAGGCGCUUGAGAGAACUCGGGUGAAGGAACUAGGCAAAAUGGUGCCGUAACUUCGGGAGAAGGCACGCUGAUAUGUAGGUGAAGCGACUUGCUCGUGGAGCUGAAAUCAGUCGAAGAUACCAGCUGGCUGCAACUGUUUAUUAAAAACACAGCACUGUGCAAACACGAAAGUGGACGUAUACGGUGUGACGCCUGCCCGGUGCCGGAAGGUUAAUUGAUGGGGUUAGCGGUAACGCGAAGCUCUUGAUCGAAGCCCCGGUAAACGGCGGCCGUAACUAUAACGGUCCUAAGGUAGCGAAAUUCCUUGUCGGGUAAGUUCCGACCUGCACGAAUGGCGUAAUGAUGGCCAGGCUGUCUCCACCCGAGACUCAGUGAAAUUGAACUCGCUGUGAAGAUGCAGUGUACCCGCGGCAAGACGGAAAGACCCCGUGAACCUUUACUAUAGCUUGACACUGAACAUUGAGCCUUGAUGUGUAGGAUAGGUGGGAGGCUUUGAAGUGUGGACGCCAGUCUGCAUGGAGCCGACCUUGAAAUACCACCCUUUAAUGUUUGAUGUUCUAACGUGGGCCCCUUACCGGGGUUGCGGACAGUGUCUGGUGGGUAGUUUGACUGGGGCGGUCUCCUCCUAAAGAGUAACGGAGGAGCACGAAGGUUGGCUAAUCCUGGUCGGACAUCAGGAGGUUAGUGCAAUGGCAUAAGCCAGCUUGACUGCGAGCGUGACGGCGCGAGCAGGUGCGAAAGCAGGUCAUAGUGAUCCGGUGGUUCUGAAUGGAAGGGCCAUCGCUCAACGGAUAAAAGGUACUCCGGGGAUAACAGGCUGAUACCGCCCAAGAGUUCAUAUCGACGGCGGUGUUUGGCACCUCGAUGUCGGCUCAUCACAUCCUGGGGCUGAAGUAGGUCCCAAGGGUAUGGCUGUUCGCCAUUUAAAGUGGUACGCGAGCUGGGUUUAGAACGUCGUGAGACAGUUCGGUCCCUAUCUGCCGUGGGCGCUGGAGAACUGAGGGGGGCUGCUCCUAGUACGAGAGGACCGGAGUGGACGCAUCACUGGUGUUCGGGUUGUCAUGCCAAUGGCACUGCCCGGUAGCUAAAUGCGGAAGAGAUAAGUGCUGAAAGCAUCUAAGCACGAAACUUGCCCCGAGAUGAGUUCUCCCUGACUCCUUGAGAGUCCUGAAGGAACGUUGAAGACGACGACGUUGAUAGGCCGGGUGUGUAAGCGCAGCGAUGCGUUGAGCUAACCGGUACUAAUGAACCGUGAGGCUUAACCUUACAACGCCGAAG
rnacentral:rRNA from 1 species